UUGAUCAGUACCUGUGUAGCAGUAGGCGUCAAACAGCGCUGUAGUGUCAGGGAAGCCAGUACGGUUGGGGUUGUUGUAAACGGUCCUCACCCCGGGCUCGUCUCCUCCACAGUUCUUCCGUGGGACAUUGAUAGGGUAGCGGACGCUGCCGUCAGCCAGCCAGCCCGGAUCACAUUGGUCUAGACCGGCCUGCCAGGCCAUGUAGAGCUGCCCCACUGUGGCCAGCUGGGAUCCCAGUGAAUGGCAGUGGGUGGAGGCUGUGGCAAGACUCAACUUCUCCUGAACUGCAGAGUGGAAGACUUCACCUGGAGGGAGAGGAGGAAGAAGGAGACAAAGAGCUCAGAGUAUCAAAGCCUGGUCACAGGAUUACAGCGCUGCACACCCUCAGCUAAGUGAACCCAUCCAUGAAUAAACCCAAAUUCAUGGCUGAAGCUCCUGACUCCUACCUUGAAGCUGCUUAGCAAAGCAGUAGACAUCAAACAGCUCAUCAGGGGACCUGUUCCCGUAAUUACGGACACCAGGUGAGUCCUCCUGAUCGCCAUAGCAACCUGGCCGGGGUGACUGGAUGGGAUACCUGCACAAAAAGUCAACCAGAAAGUAUUAAUUGGACUCUUCCCUCCUGGCUGAUGUGCAGUCUGAGAUUUUCUGAUUCUGGACCAAUUAGAGGAAUCCCAAGUGAAAAACAACAGAGUGUAGGGCGGAAGGAGAGGAGGAAAAAUGGAGGAACAGCGUGCUGCCUGGGGUUGUGAAAACUGUCAGAAGGAACGUUUAAUCUGCUUUGGUACAGGAGCAACAGUGAUUAGAAAUUAAAAUGUAGAUAUG